UUCAAGUAUUGCAUGGCCAUCUCUCCUUUCUACUGUUAAUUAAAGUGGUUAUGAUGAUUGGCUAUGGCUAUGAAUGUGAUGACUGAAGAGAUUGCUAUGUGGAGGAUGAAAGGCUAUGGUUUGUUUGCCUGUUAUAUAUAUAGACUGACUGCUACCAUCAUUAUAAUUAUAAGCCAAGAAUACAUUCAACUCAACAGCUAGCUUUUUAGUUUACAAUGUGUAAAUAGCUUUUUAGUUUGCUCCUAAAUUGGAUAUUUAACUUUUGCUCUACUAAUCAAUUUUAUCUUCUUA
rnacentral:lncRNA from 1 species